rnacentral:ncRNA from 22 species
GGAAGCCGGUGUGAAUCCGGCACGGUCCCGCCACUGUGAUCGGGGAGCGACCCUCAACAGCCACGGCUCUGAUGGAGCUGGAAGGCGAGGCGAGCGUUGAUCCGAGAGUCAGGACAC